rnacentral:rRNA from 1 species
UACAGAGGUCUCGAGCGUUGUUCGGAUUCAUUGGGCGUAAAGGGCGCGUAGGCGGCGGGGUAAGUCUGGUGUGAAAUCUCGGAGCUCAACUCCGAAAUUGCACUGGAUACUGCUCUGCUAGAGGGCUGGAGAGGAGAUCGGAAUUCACGGUGUAGCAGUGAAAUGCGUAGAUAUCGUGAGGAAGACCAGUGGCGAAGGCGGAUCUCUGGACAGCUCCUGACGCUGAGGCGCGAAGGCCAGGGGAGCAAACGGG